AGCGAACGCUGGCGGCAGGCCUAACACAUGCAAGUCGAACGAAGUCUUCGGACUUAGUGGCGGACGGGUGAGUAACACGUGGGAACGUGCCUUUAGGUUCGGAAUAACUCAGGGAAACUUGUGCUAAUACCGAAUGUGCCCUUCGGGGGAAAGAUUUAUCGCCUUUAGAGCGGCCCGCGUCUGAUUAGCUAGUUGGUGAGGUAAAGGCUCACCAAGGCUACGAUCAGUAGCUGGUCUGAGAGGAUGACCAGCCACAUUGGGACUGAGACACGGCCCACACGCCUACGGGAGGCAGCAGUGGGGAAUCUUGCGCAAUGGGCGAAAGCCUGACGCAGCCAUGCCGCGUGGAUGAUGAAGGUCUUAGGAUUGUAAAAUCCUUUCACCGGUGAAGAUAAUGACUGUAGCCGGAGAAGAAGCCCCGGCUAACUUCGUGCCAGCAGCCGCCGUAAGAC
rnacentral:rRNA from 1 species